rnacentral:rRNA from 1 species
GCAUGCCUACAACAUAGAAUUAAUGUAUCAGAUCCCAUUAGAAAUCUGUAGUUAAGGGUGCUUGGGCUAAAGUAGUAUUGGGAUGGGUGACCACCCGGGAAGUCCUAGUAUUUUACAUGCC